AGUUGCUAUGCUGGUGCACCCAGCACUUAAAGCGAAAAGACAAAAUUGCCCUUUUAUUUUUUUAAAAAUCUCGUGCACCCAGCGCUUCUUUUCUUCUUCUCUCCCGCCAGGCUUUUCUUCUUCUUCUUCCACCUUCAUCCGCGUCUUCUUCCUUCUCCCGUGAGCUGCUGGUGCUGCUGCUUCUUUCUCCCACGUCUUCGUCCGUCUUCUCCUAUGUCUUCCUCCGUCUUCCUGGGAGUGCCUCUUCUUCUUUAGCGAGCUCCAUUCUUUCGUUCUUCAUUGAGAUCAUGGUUAAGACUAGAGGGUUAGGUUGUGUGUUAGGUAGGGUUGUUGCUAGAGGUCUGGGGAGAGAAGGGGAUGGUGAUGAUACUGACGGUGCUCCCCAGCGCCGAAGGCCGACCGCAUCGGCAUGCAGGCGACGGGUACCAGUCAUUAUUGAUGAUGUUGUGCCUGUGGUGCCUACGGACUUGCCUGCGGUACCAGAGGCAGAGGCUGCUGUAGCUGGGGAUGAGCCCAUGGUAGAUGCUACCGCCGGUGCAUAGACUGACGCACAGGAUACCGGUGCACAGGAUAUUGGGGAUGAGCUUGAGGGAUUUCCUGGUGGACCCAGGGACCCAUCAGUGCUUACAAAGUAUGCUGACCAUGUUGCGCCAACGUAUGGUCUGGACAGGAGAAUUAUAAGCAAUUGGACUUGAAUCCAGAAUUGGGCUUGGACUUGAAGAGAGUAG